rnacentral:sRNA from 1 species
AAAAUUAUAGUGAUGGCCACUGGAGGAUGGAUUAGAGAGGAUGAGUCUGCUGGCUGGAAGACCAAUUGGAAGACUACUGCAGCCAUAGAGUUGAUAGCAAACAGAAGACACAAAGUGCACAUAUUGCCCUGGCUUCUGAUUUCAUGACAAAUUGGCAUGGUAAUACUUAAUACUUAACAGUUGCAGAAAAAUAGAAAGAUCUAAAUGGGGGAAUUAGAAAAUAUGGAGCUCUUAAAUAACGGACUUGGAUUUGAGAAUUAUUACAAGCCAUUAAUCAUUAUAGGUCUCCCCGGAAAUGAAUGAAUGAGAAUUUAUCAUUGCUCUUAUUAGGUCCGUGCCUCCAAAACUUCUUCAGGAGGAUUUUCUGAAGCUCCAGUGGCUGCUGUUGUUUGAGUUUGGUUUGGAGCAAAACUGAGGUAGUCCUAACAUUUCUGGGACUGAAUCCAGGCAAGAGAAAGAAGAAAAAGAGGAGGAAAAAGCCUGGAAAACAUAUUAAUCCCAGUGCUUUUACGCCCGGAAACAAAGAGACUAAGCCAGACUGUGGGGGAAAGGGAGAUAAGAAGGAUCCUGGAACUUUAAAGAGGGAAAGAGUGAGA